CGGAGUUAGCCAGCGCGGUGGCGGCCGAGGCUGGCAGGGGUGGACUCCAGGGCCGGGCUGCGCCCACUUCCCACAGCUGUGAAUUUCUUUGGAUAAUUGAUGAUAUUUAUCAUUGUACCUGGCUUUUACAAAUAAAAGAUGGGUGGAUUAUUUUCUCGAUGGAGGACGAAACCUUCAACUGUUGAAGUUCUAGAAAGUAUUGAUAAGG